rnacentral:rRNA from 1 species
AAUGGUGGCUAUGGCGUAGGUGUUCACCUCUUCCCAUCCCGAACAGAGAAGUUAAGCCCUACAACGCCGAUGGUACUGCGGUCACACGUGGGAGAGUAGGUAGCUGCCAACC